rnacentral:rRNA from 1 species
GGCGUGCUUACACAUGCAAGUCGAACGAUGAUGCCCAGCUUGCUGGGUGGAUUAGUGGCGAACGGGUGAGUAACACGUGAGUAACCUGCCCCUGACUCUGGGAUAAGCGUUGGAAACGACGUCUAAUACUGGAUAUGAUCACUGGCCGCAUGGUCUGGUGGUGGAAAGAUUUUUUGGUUGGGGAUGGACUCGCGGCCUAUCAGCUUGUUGGUGAGGUAAUGGCUCACCAAGGCGACGACGGGUAGCCGGCCUGAGAGGGUGACCGGCCACACUGGGACUGAGACACGGCCCAGACUCCUACGGGAGGCAGCAGUGGGGAAUAUUGCACAAUGGGCGAAAGCCUGAUGCAGCAACGCCGCGUGAGGGAUGACGGCCUUCGGGUUGUAAACCUCUUUUAGUAGGGAAGAAGCGAAAGUGACGGUACCUGCAGAAAAAGCACCGGCUAACUACGUGCCAGCAGCCGCGGUAAUACGUAGGGUGCAAGCGUUGUCCGGAAUUAUUGGGCGUAAAGAGCUCGUAGGCGGUUUGUCGCGUCUGCUGUGAAAUCCCGAGGCUCAACCUCGGGCUUGCAGUGGGUACGGGCAGACUAGAGUGCGGUAGGGGAGAUUGGAAUUCCUGGUGUAGCGGUGGAAUGCGCAGAUAUCAGGAGGAACACCGAUGGCGAAGGCAGAUCUCUGGGCCGUAACUGACGCUGAGGAGCGAAAGCAUGGGGAGCGAACAGGAUUAGAUACCCUGGUAGUCCAUGCCGUAAACGUUGGGCGCUAGAUGUAGGGACCUUUCCACGGUUUCUGUGUCGUAGCUAACGCAUUAAGCGCCCCGCCUGGGGAGUACGGCCGCAAGGCUAAAACUCAAAGGAAUUGACGGGGGCCCGCACAAGCGGCGGAGCAUGCGGAUUAAUUCGAUGCAACGCGAAGAACCUUACCAAGGCUUGACAUACACCGGAAACGGCCARAGAUGGUCGCCCCCUUGUGGUCGGUGUACAGGUGGUGCAUGGUUGUCGUCA